rnacentral:rRNA from 1 species
UACGGGGGGGGCAAGCGUUGUUCGGAAUUACUGGGCGUAAAGGGCUCGUAGGCGGCCAGACAGGUCUGCUGUGAAAACUCGAGGCUCAACCUCGAGACGCCGGUGGAAACCGUUUGGCUAGAGUCCGGAAGAGGAGAGUGGAAUUCCUGGUGUAGCGGUGAAAUGCGCAGAUAUCAGGAAGAACACCCGUGGCUAAGGCGGCUCUCUAGUACGGUACUGACGCUGAGACGCGAAAGCGUGGGGAGCGAACAGG